rnacentral:rRNA from 1 species
GACAGAGGGGGCAAGCGUUGCUCGGAAUCACUGGGCGUAAAGGGCGCGUAGGCGGGAUGGCAAGUCAGUCGUGAAAUCUCUCGGCUCAACCGAGAAACGUCGGCUGAUACUGCCGUUCUUGAGGGAUGCAGAGGAGACUGGAAUUCCCGGUGUAGCGGUGAAAUGUGUAGAGAUCGGGAGGAACACCGGUGGCGAAGGCGGGUCUCUGGGCAGUGGCUGACGCUGAGGCGCGACAGCGUGGGGAGCAAACAGG